GACGCCGCGUGAGGGAAGAAGGCCUUCGGGUCGUAAACCUCUGUCAGGAGGGAAGAACCUCGAGGAUUCAAAUAGGGUCCUCGACUGACGGUACCUCCAGAGGAAGCACCGGCUAACUCCGUGCCAGCACCUUCGGUGACUGAGCGGGCUGGCAAGGCGCAUA
rnacentral:rRNA from 1 species